GCCUUUACAGUGACCGGUGACCCUAACACCUGCUGGAGGCGGUCGCUAAUUCUAAAUUCAUAAAACCGUACCGCUCAAGACUAUCUUGAUCUAUGCAUCAGUUUUCCGAGUUGGCACACUAUCAACGAUGUCAUAUCUGAAGAAUUGGUGGGUUACUGACUACGCAGAUGACAUAUUUUCAUAUUUCUUACGGAAAGAAAAGACAGGGAUGACCUUCCGCUGCAGAUCUCCACAACUUGGGGAACGGCGUCGACUGGUGGACAUGCUGAGACUGGUUGGGGAGCGGCUUCAGCUCGGCAACACCUCCGUUCAUCUGGCCGUGAGGCUGCUGGACCUCUUCAUGGACAACCACCGGGUAGAGGUGGCGCACCUCAGCCUGGUGGCUCUCGGCUGUCUCCUGCUGGCCAGUCAGUGACCACUGACCAGUAACGCGGGUCUAGGAUCAGUAGAGCUUCAGCCGAUCCAGUCUUAGGACUUGGCAGCGUACUGAGUUGCUAUCUGCUUUUUUAGAUCGCCUGCAUCACUGACAACCGGGCCACCGGCCGUCACUGCGACGAAGUUCGAGGACCGUGACCUGAAUGUGCCGCAUGUGCCGGAGCUCCAUCGGCUCGUACCGCAUUGCUACCCGCUGAGAGACUACCGUGCAGUCGAGGCCAUCCUGCUGGAGUUCUUCAGCUGGAACCUGUCGCUGGUGACGGUGGCGCACUUCGUCGAGUUUCUGGCGACGCGCGUGCUGGGCCGUGGUGACCUGGUGCGCGGCGCGGAGCUGGUGGGCACCGCCAGCGCGCUGACGCCGCCCCCGGACCACCCGUCGGCAGGGCUGCCGCCUCCGACCUCCGGCGCCCAGGCGCUGCGGAACGCCCUGCUGGAACGGCUGCAGUACUUCAUGGAUCUGGCACUUCAGGACGAGCAGUUCAUGCUGCACCGACCGUCGGUGGUGGCGUGCGCCUGCGUGCUGGCCGCGCGCAGCCGACUGGGCGUGUGGCCAGCCUGGCCGGCCGAGCUGAGCCGCCUCACCGGCUACUCGGACGCCAGCCUGCUCUCCUGUCUACACUCACUCUUCAGGGCCGCGUUUGCUGAUGAGAGGGCUGUCUCCGCGAAGACUGACGAUUGGAGCGGAUCGGAAUGAAGCAGUGAAUUAUAAAAUUGGCAUGAGAAGUGACGCAUGUGCCAGUAUCUAUUGAAUACCAUUUGUAUGCUGUUGCUAUUUAUUACAAGAAGUAUGUCAUUGUUAUUUACUACAAAGAGUGGAUACAUUUCUGCCAUAACUAAGAAAAAAAUAUAACUGGCCACGAGAAAAAUUCAAAGAUCCUCCUGGUCAGAGCACAA